ensembl:lncRNA
CAGAUCUCUCACUACGGACCGCAUGCUGACGGACUUCCCUGGGCCUGCUACCUGAGACCUCCUGCUUCCUCUCGGACUCACUCUGCGGCUUCUUCCUGGACCCACCUGGUACCUGCACCCUCUCGUUGCCCAAGACCAUCCUCACUGCUCCUGCCCUUUGGCUGUGGACCAUUGAAACGGCGUGCAACAGACUCCUGCUGGAUCUUGGUGCAAGAACCUCCUCUGCUGAUACUGCAAAAUUGACUCCACUACUCUGAGGAUGAGGAAAGUAUUCAUAAAAGAACCUUGAACCAGCUCUGCCUAGUUCUUUAAUUUUUGAGCAUGUAGGAUACAGCUGAGCUAUUUCAAAACUCUACAUGGGAAUGUUUUAAUGGGAAUGUUUUGACUCUUCAUGUUUUUAGAUGUUUCUUAAUUCAAGCUAAAUGGCUGUGUAAGUACCUCUAGUACAUGCAGUAGGGACUAACGUUUUAAAAAUGUGGAGCUUCAACUUGUACCCGUAGGAGAAGUUCUUAGUUUUUCAAACUGCAUAGCAUCAAAAUAGAAGAAUAGAUGAGCAUACUUUGGGGGCUCUUGAAGAAAUGUGAUUGUUUCUUUCAUCAGCUGAAGUGAGUACUUGCCUAAAGGCUGAUUUCUAUGUGAACACAACCUGGAAAGUUUUCAGGGUAGUGAGUCCACGGGAGCUUUGACAAGCAUGGCAUGCAGGCUGGUGAAAAUACACAGCUAAUGGUUCUGGCUGUGUUGAAAAGGAGUGUUUUGUAGCAGAGAAUGUACUCUAUUAAUCAGUGUUAUUGUAUGUACAUACCUAUUUUGUUUGUCCUGAGGGAAAAAAAUGAUCUAAACAGUAUUAAAAUAUGUUAUCAAAUUGCAUUAACAUUUAUUCAUGUUACAAUAUAUAUUUAAGAUAAUUUCAAUAAACUAAUUUUUGUUUUGAUAGAGAUACAGAAACUGAUGUUGAUGUUUCAACUCAAGUUGAAAAAACAGUAGCUUGAAAACAGUGGGAAAAUAAAGGAAUUUUAUUGAAAACUGGUGUUCAUUCAAGGAAUUAUUAUUACUUGUUGAUAAUGAUUAAAGAGUGUAUUUUGAAGACUUUCCAUGCAUUGUGGUUUUACAUGGCUUUGAAUAAACAGAAUAUGUUGCACUAGGUAUUGAACACUACCAAUCUUUACAUCAUCACUGUAGACGCACCUUUGAAAUGUCAUAUUUUAUCUUACUUUGUUGCUUAUUGGGAGAAAUAAGAAUUUACUAUACUUCUAAUACAUAGUACUUAAACCAAUGAGUAAAAUGUGAUUGCUCAACUACACUUAGCAAAGAAUGAGAUAAUUGGUGAGGAAACUGAUGCUGCUUGAGCAUGAAGAGCUGACAGACAAUUUUGAAUAAGAAAGGGAAUAACUGACAGUUGAAUAGAAAUUUUGUUCUCACUAAGUUCUAAGUAUACAGUCAGAACAAAACUAACACAUUCAUUGUCUGUUUGUAAGGAUUUCAGAAUAAAAAUGUAUUAAUAAUACAAUCUGUAGUUAUUUUAGAACGAAAUUAGUUGUGUUAUGUUUAUGUAAGUACAGUUGUCUAUGGUAGCAGUGCAUUGGUUAAAAAAUUAAAAUGUACGUAUACUGACGAUUGAAAAACUUUUAUCUUCCAAAAUCUGCCUAUAAAUCUUUAAGGUGGCAUGCACCCAUGUCAUGGAAUUAUCUCUAGAUUUAUCAAUGUCCGUGACAGGGGGACAGCAGGCCCACUGGCCCAGAAAAGAAGGAGAGAAAAAAGUGCCAAUGGUUUACGGGCCACUCUGGCCCAGUCCUGUAAUUAAUGAGGCAGGAGACCCACGGACCCACCCCGGGAAAAAGGGGAAGGGUAAGGAGAUAGUAAGUGGGUCUGAAAAACAGAACAGCAGCAAUGAUGUGAGGAGUAAAGUUAAUUUAGUAAAUAUGAUAUCAAAAUGCAAGGUAACACAAUAUAACACAAUACAAUUGAAAUUUAGGCCAACAAAUCAAACAAAAUAAGAGUGUCCAAAACCGAAGGCCUGACUCUACAUCUGCAGGCGAAAGCACAGUGGACCAUGUGCUCAUUGGCAGCAGACAAGGAGAGGGUCUGCUGACCUGCGAGGAGCUCCACCUUACCCCUCUGGAAUACAAAGUCUUGAGGGAAAUGCAGUUCCUCCCCUCUCCAUACUAGAACCAACACACAGAAACAGCAGUCCAGGGAACCAGAGCAUUAACUCUUUAACUCCCAGUGCUUUACAUGAUGUUAUAAUGUGGAAUACUUAUAACAGAAAUCACAAAACCACGACAAGGCAUCUCUGGCUGCACAGGAACAGAAUUAUAUUUUACACAUUUGAAAGUUGCACACACAUAGUUGUGGUAGUACAUAACAAUUUUUUUUUGGUUUUUGACAACUUCUGUUUUUCAGAACAGACAAUAUAAUACUGUUUUAUAUUAAACCAAUAGUAUAUGUUGCUGUGACUACAUCUUGCUGAUAAAGUUAUCAGUAUAGAUAGCAGUAGUCAUUUAAUUGACUAGUGCCCUUUUAGGAAAGAAAACAAGUAUUUCUUCUUGAGUUGCAGAAGUGGUUUGAGUGGUUCAGGUUGGAAGGGACCUUAAAGAUCUGGUUCCAUUUCCCUGCAAUGGACAGGGAUGCCUUCCACUAUAACCAUAAAAACACAAAAACAUAGAAUAAAUAAGUCUGAAAAAGACCUUUAAGAUCAUCUAGUCCAACCGUCCACCUAUCAAUAGUAUUUCCCCACUAGAUCAAAUCCUUACCUACUACAUAUGACUUUUCCUUAAAAAUUUCCAGGGACUGUAGAUUAACCACCUCCAUGGGAAACCUGUUUCAAUGCCUCACGACGCUUUCUUAGAAGAAAUUUAUCGCGAACCCCAGUUCCAGGUUGUCACGAAUUCCCCAGGUGUCGGAGAACCGGAAUCUAGUCAGUUCGCUGGCCAAGCCGCAUGGGGAGUGAUGAC